AUUCUUAAAGUCCUUUAAGUAAUUACACUUAUGCUUUUGUAAGAUAUGCUGAACAUGGAUGGUUUAUACACGUACGGUUUGGAUUUUACGAUCACCACUGUACAAAUGAUCAAAGUAGUAGCAAAGAUUAUUUAUUUAAAAAAUUACCUUAUAAUCGGAUGCCAUUUGGCCUUUUGAUCACUCAUUUUUCAUUUAACGGUCUAAAUUAUUUCAUGCUAAAUUGAUCAUGAUAAUGAUGUCCGAUUG
rnacentral:lncRNA from 1 species